CGUGCCUAUCCCCUGAUCUCGCGGAACCGACCUUUGUCCAUUAUAUAUAGAUAGCCCAGAGCCUGUUGGUAGUAUUGCCUUGCUCAGUGAGCACCAAGACCGCUUCCCAAACCCCCAAUUGAGCCGCCUGUGGUCGCCGUGUCCGCCUACGGUGAAACUCACUGCCACCACGGUCAGGCUAAAUUUGAGAUAGGCCGUGCCGAUUCAUCAAAUACCCCUGCUCCAUUUCCCUCCAAGAGUCCCGUUAUGCCGCCUUCCAUCGCCAAUUGCUUCCAGGAAUAAAUCAUGAGCAGAAUUCCCUGGUCCACCGAAGCUUCUCCGCCAUGGUUUAAGCCCCGCUCGACCUCGAGAUCUCGGGCAUUAGCCUUACCCUCCAGUGGAUGCAAACCGCUUCCGUGAUCACGCUGGUAUGCCAGGUGCAGAGAAUGGAGCCCCCUAGCUACCGCAAUCUUCGUUGAAGCCACCCACUGCCUCUGUUCGUGCACGCGAGGGAAGGAGAUGAACCCGAUACCUGUCAGCGAGCCACCCUCUCCCGUCAGUAGCGCACAGCCGUAGGUAGGUUUUCAAUUCUAAGAGACGUAUGCCGUGGAGUACGUUUUCUUUUCCCAAAUAUGUAUUUCCAUCGAAGAUUUUUCUGUAAACUAUCUUAUUUAAAAACAGAAUUUUGACCUAAGUUUGACUGGCUCUAACUUUUAAACCACAACUCUAAAUAAGUUGAUUCCUUUUCUGUUAUUUCUCAAAUUUCAUCUAGUUUACUUACAGAUUUAUUUAUAAAAAUUCAAAUAACUUUUAUACACUACUUUGGGAAUGUGUGUUAAUUUCAAUAUUUUCGAAAAUAGGAAAAUUGGAGGGAAGAAUCCUCUGAAAGAUUUUGGAGUGCAUACUGAUGUCUACUACGCAAUCUUUUCCUUGUAGACGUUGUUGGGCCUUCAAGUGCAGAGGGUUGUAGGACAGUAGUAAUUUUUCCUCAAAUGGGUGACCUAAAGUUUAUCAAUCCGCGGAAGGCGUAGGAUGAACAUGGUCUCUCUCAAGCAACCCUGCAAUCAAAUAACAAAGAGUCUCUUGUGUCCCCAACACACCUAAUACAAUGGUAAAUUUUAUAGGUGCACUAGUUCGGCGAAGAGAUGAUGAUACAAGUGCAAUAUGGAUGGUAGAUAUAGGUUUUUGUAAUCUGAAAUUACAAAAACAGCAAGGUAACAAAUGAUAAAAGUGAGCACGAACGGUAUUUGCGAUGCGUGAAAACAAGGUCUAGGGUUCAUACUUUCACUAGUGAAGUUCUCUCAACAAUGAUAACAUAAUUGGAUCAUAUAACUAGCCCUCAACAUGCAACAAAGAGUUACUCCAAAGUCACUAAUAGCGGUGAACAAACGAAGAGAUUAUUGUCGGGUACGAAACCACCACAAAGUUAUUCUUUCUGAUCGAUCUAUUAUAGAGUUCGUACUAGAAUAACACCUUAAGAUACAUAUCAACCAAGACCCUAAUGUCACCUAGAUACUCCAUUAUCACCUCAAGUAUCCGUGGGCAUGAUUAUACGAUAUGCAUCACAUAAUCUCGGAAUCAUCUAUUCAACCAAUACAUAGAGCUUCAAAGAGUGCCCCAAAGUUUCUACCAAAGAGUCAAAACGUGUGCCAACCCCUGUGCAUAGGUUCCCAAUGUCACGAACCCGCAAGUUGAUCACCAAAACAUACAUCAAGUACUCACAUGAAUCUACGUGUGCCAACCCAUAUGCAUAGGUUCCCAAUUGUCACAAACUCGCAAGUUGAUCACAAUAGAUAGACACGUGCAAGACAUACAUCAAGUGUUCUCAAAGACUCAAUCCGAUAAGAUAACUCCAAAGGGGAAACUCACUUCAUUACAAGAUGGAGAGGGGGAAGAACAUCAUAAGAGCCAACUAUAGUAGCAAAGCCCAUGGUACAUCGAGAUCAAGACAUCUCAAGAACACGAGAGAGAGAGAGAGAUCAAACACAUAGUUACUGGUACAUACCCUCAGCCCUGAGGGAGAACUACUCCGUCCUCGUCAUGGAGAUCGCCGGGAUGAUGAAGAUGGCCACCGGAGAUGGAUUCCCCCUCCGGCAGGGUGCCGAAACGGGCUCCAGAUUGGUUUUUGGUGGCUACAGAGGCUGGCGGCGGCGGAACUCCCGAUCUAGGUUUCUUUCUGGGGGUUUCUGAAUUUAUAGGAAUUUAUGGCGGUGGAAUUGCGUCAGUUGGGCCUACGAGGAGGUCACAAGCCUGCACGCCACCACCGGGGGGGUGUGGCGGAGUGAGGGCUUGUGACUCCAUUGUGGCCCAUCUGGCCUUCUCCCAAAGCUUCGGGGGUCUUUUUUGGUUCAAAAAAAAUCAUCGUAAAGUUUCAUUCCAUUUGGACUCCGUGUGAAAAUGAGCCAAAAACACGGAAAAAACAGAAACUGGCACUUGGCACUGAGUUAAUAGGUUAGUCCCAAAAAAGAUAUAAAAUAGCAUAUUCAUGCAUAUAAAACAUCCAAAGUUGACAAGAUAAUAGCAUGGAACCAUCAAAAAUUAUAGAUACGUUGGAGACGUAUCACAUACCAUCCUUCUUCAUACCCAAGGCAAGCAUCUUGAACAUUGAUUUGUCAUAAGUUGCCUGAUUGCUUGCUGUGAUAAAUGAAUGCAUGUUUAUGAUAGUAAGAUAAAAACUUCCAUAUAGGAAAUGUUUCUGCAUGAUGCAUGUGAUGGGUAUUUAAUUGAUGUUGGGAUAAAAUACAGAUGAUAGCGGGUACUACCUCAUGCCACGUAUGCCUUUGUUGGUCUGGCUAACCUUGGAGGAAGGUUUUUCAUGGUAAAUGUGUGAACGCAAAGCUGAUAUCUCAUGGCGACGAGAGUGAUUAGUUAGGGCAUGCCGAGGUUUGAUGGUGGUAACACUUUCGGAUAUCAUUCAGAAAUUUUGUGGUUCUAAUCAUUGCAGGAAAACUUUAACCUCCUGAGUUGACCAUAGAUCGAGUCUUGGGCCAGUAACCACAUACUUGAUUUGUGCCACAAGUUGUCCCUGCCAUGGAUAGGGUGCAGUUGAGUAAGUCAUCAACCCCUUUCCUUGCACAAACCAUACAGAAAGGCCAUAGUGAAAGAUACCACUAAUCGGUGGUAGGCAUGUCACUUGGUCCAUACCACUGAUCACUAGUAGACAUGUCACUUGGUCCGGGGGCAUGGGUGUUCCGGUUGGACCGAGGGUAUAGCACCCCUGUUUUGCGUGCCGUAAAAAUAUGUUGAUCCCAUGCUAAUCGAGAUUGUAGUCUCCCCACUUAGAGUUUUGCUUAACGAUUGAUUUGGGUGAUUCCUCGCAUCGAGAAGUUAAGCUCGUGUGUGCGGGCCAGGUGUGUUUUCAACUCAAAGACCAUACGCGAAAUUAGCCAAUGUUUUCAGGUUGACUAAGGAAAUUCGUUACUCGUGGGUAAAAAGUACACCCUCUUCAGAGUUAAUAUGUGGGGACCCCGACUGGUAGGUCGAGAUCUCCGAAUGUACAUGAUGAGUGAUCCCAGAGAUCAAUGCUCACUGAACACACAGAAACAGAAUAAAAAGAGUCUUACAUCCAUACAUACCAUUUGAUACAAAUAAGAACCAUUGAGGUCAAUUCCUACAUAGAUAGGGCCAUGAAGUCCAACACACCAAACUCAACUAGUAGCGGAAAUCUUGGUUGAAAGCGUGAACCCAUGCCAUCGGCCUUAACCUACAUGCAUUCUGACUAGGAAGCGUCCUAGCUCACAGGAACGUCACCAAGGUACUCUUCACGAUCUUCUAUCCUCACUUACCUGGUCAAUGAAAUAACCAGUGGCAAGCCAAUGACUUCUUUGAAUGUACUCGCAAGCAACACAUGUUUGGAACAAGGCAAUACUAAAGCAUACUAUAAUAUUGGUAGGCUAUUUUUGCACAAAGUGGAUUUUCCCCUAGUGCAAUAACAUGAUCACAUUCUCGUGCGACAAUGCAUCACAAGGCUUAGCGGUAAUCUAGUGCACAUGUUACAAAUAUCGAUAUCAACUGAGGGUUGAACAUCCAAUGCUCACCCAUUGUCACGCCCAAGAUGCGACCCUAUCCUCAAUUUGGCACGAGGGCCUCGUCAGGGAUAGAAGCGCAUCUCGUCGUGUCGCAAGAAUGAAUAUCGUUACAAGUACAUGUACUGAAAAGAAGAGAUAUAUAUAGAGUUGGCUUACACUUGCCACAAACUACAUCAGAGUCACAUCAGUACAUUACAUAACCAUCAAGAGUAAGAGCAGGGUCCGACUACGGACGAAAGCAAACGAGAAAAUAAGAACGACGUCCAUCCUUGCUAUCCCAGGCUGCCGGCCUGGAACCCAUCCUAGAUCGAUGAAGAAGAAGAAGAAGCAACUCCGAAUGAACAAUCAACGCGCUCGCGUCAAGUAACCUUUACCUGUACCUGCAACUGGUGUUGUAGUAAUCUGUGAGCCACAGGGGACUCAACAAUCUCAUUUCCAAAGGUAUCAAGACUAGCAAAGCUUAACGGGUGAGGCAUGGUUAAGUGGUGAGGUUGCAGCAGCGGCUAAGCAUAUAUUUGGUGGCUAACUUACGAGUACAAGAAAUAAGAGGGGGAAGAUCUACGCAUAACGGACGUGAACUACUGAUGAUAAAAUGAAUGAUCCUAAACACCUACCUACGUCAGACAUAACCCCACCGUGUCCUCGAUCGGAGAAAGAACUCACGAAAAAGACAGUCACGGUUACGCACACAGUUGGCAUAUUUUAAUUAAGUUAAGUUCAAGUUAUCUAGAACCAGUGUUAAACAAAGUUUCCACGUUGCCACAUAACCGCGGGCACGGCUUUCCGAAAAGAUUUAACCCUGCAGGGGUGCUCCAACUAGUCCAUCACAAAUUACCACAAGCCGCAUAGAAAUCCUCAAUCACGAAGCUCGCGAUCUCGUCGGAUUCCCUAGUGGAAAACCUCAACUCUGAGAUUACCCAAAGCAACACCGGAAUCCCGAUGCACAAGAUAUCUCGUCAAAGGUAAAACUAAUCCAGCAAGGCCGCCCGACGUGUCGACGAUCCCGAUAGGAGCCGCGUAUCUCGUUCUCAGGACACGACGGAUAAGCACAGCGUGCGGUGGCCUGAUAGAAAUCUCCCGAGUUGCCCCGGGUUGGCCCCGCAAACGGCUCUAGUUUUGGACCAGCACCAACAGCACUGGCCCCCUUUAUUAUGUAAAAUUACUCCUCGGGUUCAUGACGCCCUAUGCAUUUCAGUGUUAACAAAAUUAUUAUGUUGGGAAAAUGUAGAACCAAUGUUGGGCCUUGCCGGACCAGCUUUAAUCUAAAACGAUUUAUCAAGGGGGUCCCCAUAACAACCCCGAUCGUGUUAGGGGCGCUCGUUUAUGGAACAUAACACCGGUAGCCGAAACUAAGGGGGCAAAGGUGGAACAAAACACCAGGCUAGAAAGGACGAGCCUUCCACCUUUUACCAAGUAUAUAGGUGCAUUAAAUUAAAUAGCAUUUAAUAUGGUGAUAAGAGAAGGAACCCAUGUUAUCACAUGGAAGCAACUACACCUGCAACUAGCAACGCUAACAACAUGGUUAAGCAAGCAACAACAUAGCCAAUCAGUGGUUUGCUAGGUUGAACAGGUUGAAGGUUAUCAUGGCAUUGUUGAGGGGCUCAUAUUUAACAUGUGGUAGGCAACGAGACAUAAUCGAUAGAAGCGAUAAAACUAGCAUGGCAAAGAUAGUAAUGGUAUCUGGGGAAAUGAUCAUCUUGCUUGAGAUCCCGCUUGGAAGAAGAAUGACUCCGUGAAGCAGAUGAAGCGAUGUAGUCGAACGGGUCCUCACAACCGGACACGCUUGCGGAACUCUAUCGAGACGGAGGAAACCGAAAACAAGAAUUAACACACGAUAUUCACCACACGAUGCACAACAUAUAUGAUGCAUGAACGGUCUAAUGCACGGCAUGACAAUCACAACAAUCAAACACUACACAUUAAGUGAAGCUCGAUAUGCAACGAGUUGCAUAUCGACGAAACUCCACGUUGAAUUAUUUAGUUCACUCCCGUUUAUUAACACGGCAAUAUUAAAAUGUUGUUAACAUGACAUGGGGUGAAGCACAAAUUAAUCAACCUAGCUAGGCAUUUUAAAUGAGACCGGAAACGACAUAUAGCAUCUCCGAGAUGACCCCACGCGUUAAAUUCUAAUUCUGUCCAGAUUUGUCCUAAUCACAUUUUAAAUUUGUUAAACAUCGAAACAAAGUGGUUCACGUGAAACUACAUGUCGUUCUAGCCCAUUUACAUAUAUGGCUCAUCUCUAAUGGAGCUACGGAUAAAUAGUUAUGAUCUAAACCGUUUCAACACGUCGACACACAAACCGAUGCAAACAUCACACUAAACAGUUCUAAUUAUGCAUGAGAGUUGGAAAAUAUUACUCUACGUAAUAUUCUAGCCAAGUUGCAUAUUUAAAUCACUCCGAUCCGGUGCACGGUUAAGAAACUACGAGCGUUUGAAAAACAAUGCAUUUUUAAGAAAUUAAAGAGAAAUUGCACGUGCUAAAUAAACCACUACUGGGCCGAAUCUAUGCAAAAGGCUGCAGCCAGCGGAAGCUUUCGGCCCAUGUGCUUGGAUGUGUGGCUGUGCAAAACAAUAUAGAACAGCAAAAAAAUUAGGGGCUUGGCUAGGAUUCAAACCAAGGACCUCUUGGUUGCUAGAAUUAUGGAUUGACCAUCUUGCCUACUGCAUGUUUGUGACACAAUAGGGGAUCGAUGUCAAAUAGCUGAUCCUCUCGUGAUGGAAUAAAAUGACUGAAAAAAUGGUGCUUCCGUGGGGACUCGAACCCACAACCUCUUGCAACAAUGCCGGUUGUGCUAGCCAACUAGGCUGGCUGUGUGCUCGUGCUAAAAGCGAUGUAUGUCUCCUAAUGAACCGAUACAGCCACAGGGUCUGAACGAGAUUUAAAACGGUGUGACUGAAUCUGAACCUGAGAAAGAGGUGCAUUCGACCAUGGAGGUUGUUGCGCGUCAACGGCGUCGGCAGCACGCCCGGCGGGCGAUCCGAAGGCGGGGAGGCCGGAUCUGGGGCGGGGCUGCCCGGAUCCGUCCAUUCCUGGUGAUCUCGAGGCGCCACGGCAAUCUUCUCGGCGGCUCACCUCCAUGGAUCGAGCGUCCCUGGGAGCUUCUCUGCAGAGAAAAGAAGGGGAAGGGAUGAGAUGAGAGGAAAAGCAGGGGAAGGGAAGCAGGAGAUAGACGAGGCCAGCCUGGUUGGGAUGAGGGGGGUUCCUCGGGGCAGAGGCGUUGGCUCGCUGCUCCACUGACCGCAGAUGGAGCAGGGCGUGGCCUUGGCUUUAUGGCACACUGUCGAUGCAGCAGAUGAGGUAGCAAGCGAGACGCGGGACUUGGCGGCACGGGCGACACAGGGACGCGAGCUGCGGCUCUUGGCGAUGGCGAGCUACAGGAGGUCCUCGUGGACGCGAGGGGAACGGCGCUGGGAUGGAUCGAGCAGGGGUGACGCUGGUUUCGGGCACGAGCUCCUCGGACGGACCAAAGGAGCGGAUGCGGGACGCUGGGUUGCACGGGGCUGCCCUGGACCGAACAGGAGGAAGGAGGAGACCACAACUGGUUGGCCAGAUGGGAAAACGAGGUGGGUGGCGGCGGCUGCGGGACAAGAUGGAGGUUUUUUUGGGAUUAGGUGUGAUCUAGAUUAGGGUCCAUAUAAAUAUCUAGCAGCUAGGAUUAGGUUCAUCUCGACCCUCCGAUUCUUGAUCGGACGGUCGGAAAAAUAGGUUAGGAAGUCCACUGGACAAACCGAAGACAGUUUGCGCUAAAACGGGGUUGAUCCGGACCCAACGGUCACGAGCACCCGGUUUGGGUUCCGGGAGAUUUCGAACUAGGUUGCGUGCAGGUCGGUACACUGUGUAGAGGGGCUCAGCAGGGAUGAGAGGGAAAACGGGCGGCGCGGCAACGAUUUUUAAAACACCGAUGACCGUCCGAUGGUAGACCGAAUACGGUGCCGCUACGGUCGACCGUUCGGGUACUAGACGAACUCCGAUCGUGACGAAAUUCGACAGGCGGCCUAGCUAUAUUAAAAUAAGACCGCACGUCAAAUCUCAACCCGAUCAGAGAAAGUUUUACGCACACUUUUAAAACAGGGUUACGACGAUGCCGCGGUCGCGUGCGUGUGCGAUCGGACUCAGAACGAACAACGACGAGAACCGACAACUACCAACGGAUGCAAGUUUUGAAAACUGGCGGCAACGGAGAUGCCGAUGCAAUGCUGAUGAUGCGCAUGAUGCGAUGAAGAUGCGACAAAAGAAAAAUAGACACACAACGAAAAUGGAAAGGAAAGGGAAUCUUCUGGAACGUCGGCAUCGGGCUGUCACACCCAUCAUGCCAAGUCACCUGACUUAGCUCCAACAUCAUCUUUCCCAUGUCUCCAUCUUUUUCCUCAUAUCACCCCCACACACUUGGUUUAUGCGGAAACCACUAGACAUAGUUUAAGUAGCACCACCCAACUAUCCUUGACCGUGGACACGACUAUUCGAAUAGUUUUAACUCUGCAGAGGUUGCACGCUGCACCCACGAGACUCGGGGAACUUCCGUGUCAUCCACGACUUGUCGUAUGUAACAUACCCGAGGUAAGAACCCAAACAAUGCCUUUCCCCUGACGACACUAAACAAAGAGUCCACUCGAUUGGUACCGACACCACAGGAUGUACAUCUUACAAGCCUCGCUCUAGAUCGUAUCAUUCAUGCAGGGGCCAACAGAGUGCCUGGCACAUGUAAAAACAACAUAGUCAUCCUACCUGGACGACCCCGACACGAGAGUGACCACGCCACUCCCGCCACUAAUAAUUCGGGCUCUCUACUAGUAUCGACUAAGGUAAUCAACAAAGCUCCAUUCCAUAAGGGGCAUCGUCGUCGCACAUGUACGGUUGGGACAGUCGCACAUGUAAGGUUGGGACGGUCGACAAAUCUUAAAUCUAAUCCCGUUUCUGAAACCUCACACACAAAUCUUUCUUGAUACACCACUUCUUUCUCAAGUGGUCAUCCAUCUCAAUACCAUCACCCUCAGGCAUUAGUGGCACCCGACGGGGUUUUCGAAAAGCCUUUGUAAUCACCUUCGUGUUACCAUCACCAUGCAUAUGCCCAUCCUACGCGUAGCACUACUAACAACCUAUUAACUUUUUAUCUAUGUGACCCUCAUAGGUGUUAAGGUCAUGCUCAAAUGCAAGUUUUAUCGAGGAACCAUCGGAAAAACCAUACUGAGGGGUUUACCGAUUCAAUCCUGAUCACAUGCAUCGAAAUGAAAUAAUAAAUAUGGCAUGCAUGAAAAUAUUUUCUCAAACAUGGUCAAAGGGCUGCUUGCCUUGCUCAAUAGGUCUCCGGGUCUUCAAGGUCUUCCGGUCCAACUCCGAGUACUCCGUUUAUUCCGCGAACUAUCGUAACAACAAUAAUGAUAAGUUACACAACAAGUAGAAACACAAAUUUCUCUAUAAAUAGGAGUUAUAUUACUCUCAGACCUCUCCGGUCAUAAAAAAUGCCUAAAGUUGUUCUAAGGGAUUUGGAUCACCAGGGAUUUUUGAACCGGGGAAAUGGAGGCAUCACUAGCCCCACAAGAAGCCUACAAAAAUUAUUUUGCUAAAAAUGAGUGGAGGAAAUCAUUUAAUAGGGCAUGAAUUUAAAAUAUUUAGGAAGUGGUCCCAUUGGAUUUGGAGUUGGUAUGAAUAUUCUAAGGGUUUUACAAUAUGGAAUAAAUGAGAAAAGGGGCUAUUUAAUUGGCCUAGUAGAAACAAUGCUAGAGAAAGAUGUUGACUAAGGGUACAAAAUUAAAUCAUGGUUUUAUAAGUCUCUACAAAUUGGAAUCACUCCAUUUGGAGUUGAUUUGAGAUCUAUAGGAAUUUCACAAGGUGGGGUUUUAAAUACUCAAAUUUGAAUUUGAAUAUUAACACCAUAGAAAGUUUAUCUGGAAAAAUGUGCAAUGCACAUAUUUGGAUAGGCAAGGAUUUUUGGAGUCUGUAGGAACUUGAAUCAUCAAAUUUGGAGUUCACAAUAAUUAUUUAUGGAUUUUUGAAGUUCCUUCUAAAAGAAAAGGAGGAAACCAUUUUUACGAGAGGUGCUAAAAUGUGCCCAGUGGCGCUGGGGAGGAGGUGAGCCGGCCCAGUGCCUCGGCCUAGCGGGCAGCACGCGACGCAGGAAGCAACUUCGUGGGAAUGCGCCUUCUGCGCAGGGAAGCGACCAGGAGGCUCCCGUCUCCACUUACCGAGCAUGGGUGUGGCCGGCCGGUCACCGACAUGCGGGACCCGCCGGUCAGGACAGUCUUCUGCCUCCCGCUCUACGGGGAGAUACAGGGGAGGCUAGGCGGGGCAUCACCUAACACCUGGCCUAGUGGAGGUGGACGAUGAUCGUGCCGGGCAGGUUGUCCUCGCCACGGAGGAGGAGCUGUGGGGAGUGGAGGAAGGUCAGCAGGGGCUCGGGAACUCCCCUGGUGUAUCUAGAGGGGUAGGAGGACGCCCAUUGUGCCUGAAUUUGAGUAACGACCGGCGAGGAGGCUCCGACCAUGUGGUGAAUGCAGGGCGUGGGAGCUCAAAUUGAAAGGCCCUCGGGGUCUACUCGAGAUGGAGAGAGCGAGACAGGUUAAGAGGGGGGGGGGUUGUGGGAGAGGUUAGUAGAGGACGGCAACCGAGGGGAGCUCGGAUGCGCCUCGGGUGCUCUUGGCAUGGCGGGAACAAGUGCAAGAGGCGUUUGGAGGCGAGCUGGUGUCGUGGAAAGGGUCAAAGAUGGAAAAGGAGAUGCCCUGGUGCGCUGGGACAUGCUGCGACAGCCGGACACACGCAACAGCAAGAGGACGACGUGUAGAGCCCCAUUUCUGCAUGCCAUGGAGGUGGUCACCAUGUGCAUUCAUGCCCACAGUGGUAUUCUGACCAGUCGAAGAUGUCUGCAUGAAAGGCAUGCAUGCAGGAGGGUGAUUCAGGAGCUUGGCCUCAUAUGGAGCAGUGUGGGUGGGGCUUCCUCUCUGAUUGAAUUUGCAACAUCAAACUUUAGGAUGGUAUAAAGUAUUUUUAGUUUGAGGAAUUUGAGUUAAGAACUUGUCUAGUAGUUUUAGGCAUGGAAGGACUACCAUACUACCAAGUUUCAGGUCAAGGAAAGGAGUGUAGCUGGCACUUGCACUUCAAGGCGCCAUUUCUCCAAAAAAAUUAAGUUUCAGAUGGGUUGCUCAUAUUUCCCACAUGAGCAUGCCAUUUCUUUGCUUGAAAUAGUGCAUUAGCAUACUAGAGGUGCUCUAGAAAGAUGUGGGGGCAUUGGCUUGAAUAGAAUUAUUGGAGAGAGUAAAAGAGGGGCUGACAUCAUAAAAACAAGAGGUAAAGAGAGGGAGUCACCCUCCAACAAUUGACUAGAGGCCAUGGCAAGGUUACUGGAUGUCAAAUAGGGCCAAGGAAUACUGUGUUAAAAAUUUGGGCUCAAGGAGAUUAGUAGAAGGGGUCAAAGAGGCGAGUUUGGUAAAUGAGCAAAAGGUGUUUGAUGGGUGUUAGUGCUAGCAAAUGGAUCCCAAUUGCUAUGAAACUUAACAAGAUCACAUGGUAGGUGAAAAUGAGACAUGUUACCAAAUUUAGGAUUUGUUGGAGAAAGUUUCCAAUGUAGUCUUGAAAACCCAAGAGAUAGGCAGAAAUGACUUUCUGAAGAAAAACCCAUGCAAUUUAAUUCCCACAAAUGCACCACUUGAUGUGGAGGCAUUAUUUGAGUACUAAAACAUGACCAAAAAGUUUGGGAUCAAUUGGAGAAACUUCACAAUGUAAAGUUUCCCAAUUCUAGAAAUUAACAGAAAAGGUUUUGAGGGGUUUCGGGCAAGUUAAUAUAUUCUCCAUGAUGCACCACUUGGUGCGGAUGCAUUAUUAAACCAUAAAAACUUAUCCAAAUUUUUUGAGCACAAUUGGAGACACUUAGGAAUGUAGAGUUGCUAAAUUUUGGAUUUGGACAAAUAGCGUUUUGGAAUAUUUAGCUGAACCAAAUCAACUUGGAUUGAAAUGAUACUUGGCAAGAUCAUCACAUUUACCAUGUGUGACUUGCUAGAAUUCUACUGGAAUUUAUUGAGAAUAUUUCUUAUGGAUAUUUUCCAAAAUCUUGAAAUAGGUAGAAGGCGUUUUGAAGGGCUUUGUCCAAUAUUGUGAACAUGACCAUGUGUUGAAACUCUCAUAUAUGGGAUAUAUAUAUAUCCACUAAGUUUCCCUAAAUUUUCUCAAAUAUUUUGAACCAAGAAAAAUAAUCUUCCUUUGUAAAAGACCAUUUCUGGAUUGAGAAAAAGGUAUUUAAAUAAAAUAGGAAAAUAACUUUUAAAAUAAUUUUUUUUUAUUUUGGGAAGUCUUUUGGACAAUGGGUUUCAAAUAAAAUAGUUUGGGGAGAACAACUCCCCUAAUUUGAGGAUUUUUAGUUCAAAUCCCAACUUAGGGAUUUUUGAAAGUUUGAACUAAAUAAAUGCUUUUUCGUCAAAAUAAUAUUUGGUAAAAAUAGUUUCUGGUCUUAUACACAUGGUUUGGUCAUUAGACAAAGGUCUAGGUCAAGGAGGUGAGUCUAGAGAAUAGUAGGAACCUUGUGAUUUGAAACACAAGCAAACAAGCACCAAGCAACAAUCACAUCAAGCACCACAAGCAUUCACAAAAGUUUUCAUUGGUCCUAAUUUUUGGGCUAUGCUAGUUUAGCCAAGAGAGUCAAAGCACAUGGUGUGACAGACCUUACCCCCUUAAGAAAAAUCUCAUCCUCAAGAUUUGUUAAGGUGGCUGUAAAAGCCUACUCCUACUAUGUUGCGUCGAAUAAUGCGAAAACGAAAUAUAUUAAAACAUGCGGUCCGUCGUGGUCACCGUAAAAGUGCCAAUAAUUGGUGCGUCUGAGGGUUACGACAAUUUUGGGAAAAAGAAAAUUUUGCAAUAUCCAUUUGCGCUUGUCGUACCCGGGUGCACAGUUCUUUCUCUGGCUGACAGGUGGGACCAGUGCCCACUGUCAGUCUCUUGUCCCUUCCUCCUUCUCCUUGCAUGCUCCUGAUGCUUUCUCCACUUAUGGUACCUAGCACGUAGGGUGCCCGAGGCCGCACUGUGGUAGUGCGCGGCGUGCUAGCUGCCAACGCAGCGUGCACUCACCUCGCGGGCCAGUGCUUGUCGGCACUGCUCGUGGAUUCCCAGUGAGCACCGAUGGUCGAGCGACGAGCGAGCCUGGUGGCUUCUCCCGCGGUGGCAGGGUCCAUGAUGAUUAGGCAACUAUGUAGUGCGUGAGUGGGUGCUAGUGUGUCGGCAGCACUCUACAAAAAUAAAAUACCCACAACAUUUACCAUCGAGAAGCUGCGGGGCUGCUAGUGAGGUAACCAGUUAGGUGCUAAAUGCGUGUGUGGUUCUGCACUUAGUGCAUGAGGUGCAAUGAGUGUGAUCGUGAUUCGGUUGGAUGUAUGUUUCUGGUGUGCCUUCACAUGUUUGGUCUUCUAGCCUUUCCGUAGCUUCUUUCCAUUGUUGAUGUAGCCGGGAGAGGAGUGGUGGUAGACUCCUAUUGCUUCUACUUCCUUGUCGUGGCCACCCGAUCAUGGUGGUUCUUCACCUUGUUGUGGUAGUUUUAUCUCCUCCUGCUUGGGGGGUGCUUCUCACUUCCCUUGGAAAAAUAAGAUUGCCAUGCAUGAGGACAACACCAUAUUUACUCAUCCAUCACUCAAGCAUCAUGCUUAUGAAACGUGUGAGAGGAGCACGUACUUGUCCAGGGUGGUCACUUGCCCUUGGGGUUUUAGUGGUGGCCGAGGGGCAGUAUGGGCUAUAGUCUAGAGACUUAGAGCCAAAACAUGCGGCCGCAACCCAGCCAUUUUAUGGCUAGGGAAUUUUCAGGGUUUUUAAGGAACUCAGAUGUGAGUGAGCAUCCAUCACCUUAUCCUUAAGUUCAUUCCUUAGAUGCCAAUAGUCUAGCCUAUAUAUGUGGACAAAAUUCACCCUAUAUCACCGAGGGUAACAUAUCACCUAAGUCAACUCCACACCACUUAUGCUAGUCAACUCCAAGGUCUGAGGGAAGAGCCUAUCCUAACCUAUGUAUGAAUCCUCGGGAAAGCAUACAACUGCUAAGCUUGAAUCAGGACACUACAAAUCCAAGUGUUCAGCUUGAUCAUCCAAUGAAUAAGGUACUGCAUGCUUAUGUUUAGGGAAACACAUAGUGUACCAAUCCAAGGCCUUGUUUCCUUCCUACGAAUCCAAUCAAGUGGUUCACCAAACCCAUCGACCAUCACUCGAGCCAUCACUCCUACAAAUCCAAUAUCGAUGGGGUUUACACGAUCGCCUAGAGUGCUCAUAAUCUACACAUCAUUGCAAGGACUAUGCCAUAGUAUACCCACCAUCUUCCAGUAUCAUGGUCAACUAAUCUCCAAGGCCAGGCUUAUAUAGAUUUGUAAAUCAAUUCGACAACUCCAAUUACUUCUACUUAUUACCCACCUAGAAACAUGGUAUCAUGAUCAAGAUCAUCCGACUAAAUCCAAUAUACUCCGAACCAUGUGGCCUCAUUCAUUGCCAAUACUCUAGUAGGUUUACCUAUUUAAAUCCGAUCCACAACUCCUACUUUUCACUCAAAGUCAUUACGGUAACAUCAUUAAACCAUGACUACUACUUGACAAAGUCAUUUUUAUUGUACCACCAAGAAUUUUGGCCCAUGAUCAUAAUUGUCCUACUGAAUCCAAACUUACUCCAGGAUUAUGUAGGUUAUGCUACUUUAUCAACUGAUCCUCCAAGAUAGUCCAACUAUAUCCUCAAGACACCUAUUAUCACUACAAAAAUCAUUACCUAGAAAUCAUAUACCCCAUAAGAUCCUUCCUAUCACAUCAUGGUUCUGGUGCUAGCUUAAGAAUGAAGGACACUUGUUCACUGUGAUCACUUGUUCCAUAGUGGACCUAGUGCUAAGGAGGGGUUAUUGGAGCUCAACAGGUGCUAUGGCCAUCCGUGUUUUAGACACAUGACCAGAAGUUUGAGCUGGGAAAUCUUGUGAGGUCUAGGUUGGUCUAGGGAGGGGCUUCCAGUAUUGAGGGUGAAGCAUAAUGCUAUGGGGUCGCGCCUGGUUGAGUAUGCCGCAGUCAGAGUCUUUAGUGCGAAUCGUUUGUCGGGGUGGAUCCUUGGUACAUCUCAUCUUGCUGGUCUUCACUUGUCGAGGAAGGUUGGAGAGAGAAAAGUAGCAUAGAGGGGAGUGCCCAAGGGGGUGGUAUAGUGCAAGUGCAAUCAAACAAGUGUCGCAAGGACAACUCAAACAUCAAAAUGAGACAGGUGAUAUAGUCGCGUACUCGUCGCCUAGGGAAAAAGUGCGACAUAUAUCAAUGCAUAAACAAGUAAAAACAAGCAACACACAAUAUGGUCCCACUCGAACCAUUUCACGGACUCGACUUCGCAUAGGGAGUUUACGACUCAUGCUACACUAGGGGUCCUCGAACUCAAUAGUCGUGCUUGCUUUGUGCCUUGGAGAGGAGUCCGUUCCCUCUUCUGGGUCUCCUUAUGGUGUCGAUAUGUCCUUUGUUGUUUUUUGCCGAAAUGAAUCGGGUUGAGCUGGAAUGAGUUCCUGACGACUUCUCAUCUGGUGAGAUGUCGGCGAAGGUGGUUUCCUCUCGUCUAUUGUUGACAAGGUCUGCUGUUGGUCUGGUACUCCUGUCAAUGUCUUUUUGUCAUCCAAGGCGUCGAGCGUCCCAGGUGGGCAAACCUUUAUGCAAUGACAUCGACAGGGCAUGAUAGAGUUCUGACCUGUCGGUUCAGUUGAUGAAAAUAUCGACACCAAGAUCAGGGGUUGAAGAGAACCGUUUUCCAGCUCACUAGGGUAUGGUGGAGCAAAGGGCGAGUGCGCAUCCACAAGUGGUGGUCGACACAUCAUCGAUAAUGACAAGGUCGCUCUAUUAGCAAUGCAUAUCAUGAUCUUGCAUAUCUUAUGUCCUGGUCAUCACAUGCCAAGGUUGCACCACUCUGGAACAGGGUCGAGGGUGUCACCAUCUCGAUGUCCUCAUUCCUCGAGAAGGUAGCAUUUGUUGGUGUCAUCUUGUUGCAGCAUUCCAACCUUGUCUUCCAAGUACAUGGGUGAUUGUUUAAAAGGGUUGCUUCCCUCCAAGUUAGCCAUGUGGAUUAUAAGUAAUCUAGUAGUCAAGGCACAAGGAGGCUGGCGGACAAUUGCAGGUUUUGAAAGGCAGAAGAGGAGAGUGAAAGGAACAAGGGUGGGGUGCUAAGGUAAACCUUCGCUCCCUUUGAUGAUUUAGGAGAGGUGCAAAAUAUAGAGGUUUUAUAAGUGCUCCUGAAGAGUGUGAAAAAAAGUUUUGUCUUAACUAACUUCCGUGCUAACUAAGGGCUUCCUACAGUUAGGAUGGCUCUGAUACCAGCUCUAUGGGGACCCCGACUUGUAGGCCGGGAUCGCCGAAUGUACGUGCUCAGUGAUCCCAAAGAUUAAUGUUCACUGAACACAUAGAAACUCAAAAAAGAGUCUUACAUUCAUACAUACCGUUUCAUACAAAUAAGGACCACUGAGGUCAAGUCUUACAUAGAUAAGGCCAUGAAGGCCAACACAACAAACUCAUCUAGUAGCGGAAAUCGUGGUUGAAAGCAUGAACCCAUGCCAUCACCCUUAACCUACAUGCAUUCUGAAUGUGAAGCGUCCUAGCUCGCAGGAACGUCACCAAGGUACUCUUCACCAUCUCUUGUCCUCUCUUACCUGGUCAAUGAAAUAACUAGUGGCAAGCUAAUGAGUACUUUGAAUGUACUCGCAAGCAACCCAUGUUUGGAACAAGGGAAUAAUGAAGCAUGAUAUAACAUUGGUAGUUUCUUUUUGCGGAAAGCGGAUUUUCCCUACUGUAAUAACAUGAUCAAAUUCUCGUGCGACAACGCAUCACUAGGCUUAGUGGUAACCCAGUGAAUAGGUUACAAAUAUCAAUAUCAACUGAGGGUUGAACAUACCAUGCUCACCCAUCAUGCCAAGUCACCUGACUUAGCUCCAACAUCAUCUUUCCCAUGUCUCCAUCUUUUUCCUCAUAUCACCCCCACACACGCGCACUUAGUUUAUGCGGAAACCACUAGACGUAGUUUAUGCAACACCACCCAACUGUCCUUGACCGCGAACACGGCUAUUCGAAUAGUUUUACCUCUGUAGAGGUUCUGCGCAGUACCCACGAGACUCGGGGAACUUCCAUGUCAUCCACGACUCGCGGUAUGUAACAUACCCGAGGUAAGCACCCGAACAAUGCCUUUUCUCUGACGAGACUAAACAAAGAGUUCACUCGAUUGGUACCCAGUCCACAUGAUGUACAUCUUACGAGCCUCGCUCUAGAUUGUAUCAUCAAUGUAGGGACCAACGGUGUGCCCGACAAAUGUAAAAACAACAUAGUCGUCCUACCUCGCAUGACACCGACACGAGAGUGACCAUGCCACUCCCGCCAUUAGUGUUGCGGGAUCUCUACUAGUAUUGACCAAGGUAAUCAACAAAGCCCCGUCCCAUAAGGGGUAUCGCGGUCGCACAUGUAAGGUUGGGAGGGUCGGCAAAUCUUAAAUCUAAUCCCGUUUCCGAAAUCACAUACACACGAAUCUUUCUUGAUACACCACUUCUUUCUCAAGUGGUCAUCCAUCUCAAUACCAUCACCUUCGGGCAUUAGUGGCACCUGACUGGGUUUUCGAAAAGCCUUUGUAAUCACCUCCGUGUUACCAUCACCAUGCAUAUGCUCAUCUUAUGCGUAGCACUACUAACAACCUAUCAACUUUUUAUCCUCCUGACCUCAUAGAUGGUAGGGUCAUGCUCAAAUGCAAGUGUUAUCGAGGAACCAUCGGAAACACCGUACCUAGGGGUUUACCGAUCCAAUCCUGAUCACACGCAUCAGAAUAAAAAAAUAAACGUCGCAUGCAUGAAAGUAUUUCCUCAGACAUGGUUAAAGGGCUGCUUGCCUUGCUCAAUAGGUCUUCGGGUCUUCGAGGUAUUUCGGGCCCACUCCGAGUACUCCGUUUAUUUCGCCAACUAUCGUCGAAACAACAAUGAUAAGUCACACAUUAAGUAGAAACACAAAGUGCUCUAUAAAUAGGAGUUUUAUUACUCUUAGACAUCUAUGGUCAUAAAAAAUGCCUAAAGUUGAUCUAAGGCAUUUGGAUCACGAGGGAUUUUUGAACGGUGGAAAUGGAGGCAACACUAGCCGCACAAGAAGCCUACAUAAAAUAUUCUGCUAAAAAUUAGUGGAGGCACUCAUUUAAUAGGACAAGAAACAUUUACGAAGUGGUCCCACUGGAUAUUGGAGUUGGUAUGAAUAUUCUAUGGGUUUGACAAUAUGGAAUAAAUGUAAAAAGGGGCUAUUUAAUUGACCUAGCAGAAACAAUGCGAGAGAAAAAUGUUGACUAAGGCUAGAAAAUUAAAGCAUGAUUAUAUAAGUAUGUGGAAAAUGGAAUCACUCCAUUUGGAGUUGAUCUGAGCUCUAUAGGAAUUUAACAAAGUGGGGUUUUAAAUACUCAAAUUUGAAUUUGAAUAUUAACACCACAAGAAAUUUCUCUGCAAAAAUGUGCGAUGCCCAUAUUUGGACCGACAAGGAUUUUUGGAGCCUGUAGGAACUUGAAUCAUUAAAUUUGGAGCUCACAAUAAUUAAUUAUGGAUUUUUGAAGUUCCUGUUAAAAGAAAAGGGGAAGCACGUUUUUACUAGAGGAGCUAAACUGCGCCCAGUGGCGCUGGGGAGGAGUUGGGCCGGUCUAGUGGCUUGGCUUGGCAGGCAGCAGGCAACGCGGGAAGCGCCUUCCCGGGAAUGCACCUUCUGUGCGGGGAAGCGGCCAAGAGGCUCCCAUCUCCACUUACCGCGCGUGGGCCUGGCCGACCGAUAACCGACAGGAGGGACCCACCGGUCGGGACCGUCUUGUACCUCCCGCUCAACGGGGAGAGGCAGGGGAGGCGAGGCAGGGCAGCACCUGGCGCUUGGCCCGAUGGAGGUGGAUGAUGACGACGCCGGGUAGGGUGUCCUGACCACAAAGGAGGAGCUUUGGGGAGUGGAGGAAGGUCAGCAGGGGCUUGGGAACUCCCGUGGUGCAGCUAGACGGGAAGGGGGCCGCCCAUUGUGCCCGAAUUCGAGUAAGGGCCGACGGGGAGGCUUCGGCCACGGGGUGAAUGCAGGGUGCGGGAGCUCAAAUUGAAAGGCCUCAGGGUCUAGUGGAGGGGAGAGAGCCAAAGAGAUUAAGAGGGGGGUUUGGGGAGAGGUUAGUCGAGGAGGGAAACCGAGGAGACUCGGAUGCGCCUCAGGUGCUCUCGGGAUGACGGGCACAAGUGCUAGAGGCGUUUGGAGGUGAGCUGGUGUCGUGCAAGGGGUCAAAGAUGGAAAGUGAGAUGCCGUGGCAUGCUGGGACACAAGCUGCAGCAAGAGGACAAUGUGUAGAGCACCGUUUUAGCAUGCGAGGGAGGUGGUCACCAUGUGCAUUCAUGCCCAUAGUAGUAUUAUGACGUCAAAGAUGUCUCGCAUGCAAGGCAUGCGUGUAGGAGGGUGAUUGAGGAGCGUGGCCUCAUAUGAAGCAGUGUAGGUGCGGCUUCCUCUCUGAUUAAGUUUGUAACAACAAACUUUAGGUAGGUACAAAGUAUUUUUAAUCUCAGGAAUUUGACUUAAGACCUUGUCUCGUAGUUUUAGGCAUGCAAGGACUACCAUACUAGCAAGUUUCAGAUCAAGGAGAGGAGUCUAGAUGGCACUUGUAGUUGAAGGCCCCAUUUCUGCAAAAAAAUCAAGUUUCAGAUGGGCUUCUCAUAUUUCCCACAUGAGCAUGCCAUAUCUUUGCUUGAAAUAGUGCAUUAGCAUACUAGUGGUGCUCUAUAAAGAUGUGGAGGCAUUGGCUUGAACAGAACUAUUGGGAGAGAGUAAAAGAGGGGCUGCCAUGGUAAAAAGAAGAGGUAAAGAGAGGGAGUCACCCUCACUAAUUUACUAGAGGCCAUGGCAAGGUUACCCGAGGUAAAAUAGGGUCAGGGAAUACUGCGUAAAAAUUUGGGCUCAAGGAGAUUAGUAGAAGUGGUCAAAGAAGCAAGUUUGGUAAAUGAGCAGAAGGUGUUUGAUGGGUGUUAGGGCUAGCAAAUGGUUUCCAAUUUCUGUGAAACUUAACAAGAUCCCGUGAUAGGUGAAAAUGAGACAUGUUACGAAAUUUGGGAUUUGUUGGAGAAAGUUUCCAAUGUAGACUUGAAAAACCCAAGAUAUGGGCAGAAAUGACUUUUUGAAGACAAACCCAUGCAAUUUAAUUCCCAAAAAUGCACCAGUUGGUGUGGAGGCAUUAUUUGAAUAUUAAAACAUGACCAAAAAGUUUGGGAUCAAUUGGAUUAACUUCACCAUGUAAAGUUUCCCAAUUCUAGAAAUCAACGGAGAAAGUUUUGAGGGGUUUUGGGCAAGUUAAUAUAUUCUCCUUGAUGGACCACUUGGUGUGGAUGCAUUAUUGGAGCAUAAAAACUUGUCCACAAAAGUUGAGAACAAUUGGAGACACUUGGCAAUGUAGAGUUGCUAAAUUUUGGAUCACGAGAGAUAGGGUUUUGGAAUAUUUAGCUUAAUCAAAUCAACUUGGAUUGAGAUGCAACUUGGCAAGAUCAUCACAUAUACCAUGUGUGACUUGCUCGAAUUUUACUCAAAUUUAUUGAGAGUAUUUCUUAUGGAAAUAUUCCAAAAGGUUGAAACAGGAAGAAAGGGUUUUGAAGGGUUUUGUCAAUAUUUUGAACAUGACCAUGUGUUCAAACUGUCAUAUAUGGGAUACAUAUGUCCACUGAGUUUCCCUAAAAUUUCUCAAAUAUUUUGAAAGCAAUAAAAGUAAUCUUCCUUUGUAGAAGACCAUUUCUCGACUAAGAAAAAGGUAUUUAAAUAAAAUAGGAAAAUAACUUUUAAAAUAAUAAUUUGAGGACUCCCCUAAUUUGAGGACUUGUAGUUCAAAUCCCAACUUAGGGGUUUUUGAAAGUUUAAAUUAAAUAAAUGUUUUUUGGUCAAAAUAAUAUUUGGUAAUAAUAGUUUCUCGUCCUAUACACAUGGUAUGGUCAUUGGACAAAGGUCUGGGUCAAGGAGGUGAGUCUAGAGAAUAGUAGGAACCUUGUGAUUUAAAACACAAGCAAGCAAGCAGCAAGCAAUAAUCACAUCAAGCAUCACAAGCAUUCAAUUUUUUUUAAUUGGUCCUAAUUUUUAGGCUAUGCUAGUUUAGCCAGGAGAGUCAAAACACAGGGUGUGACAUAAUAUCUACUCGAAUAGUCGUUUUCGCGUGUAAGGACUACAUUCUGGGAUAUGUCAAGUGUCGAUCUUCGGAGGAAUUAAUUGAAACAUAAUGAUGAUAAUGUACCCUGAUGAUGAUCAUAAUUAUAAUGAAUUUUUUCUAUGGACUAAUCAUUUGUUUUAUAUAAAUCUCUGAGUGUGCCUCGGAAGGUUCUACCUCGUGGAUACUCGCUGUUACCAUUGUCUUUAUAAGCCCUUUAUGUGGCAUCGCUCUAGACGCCCGACUGUGGCAACUAUUAUUAUCUCCGUAUAAGACCUAUACGUGGCGCCGCUCAGACGCUCGGCUAUGGCAACUGUUAUUAUUUCUAUAGAAGCCCUCUAUGUGGCAUCGCUUAGGCGUCCGAGUGAGGCAUGUCUUAUAUUGUUAUCCUUUCGAGGUGUUGCUUUAGACACCCGAUCGGUGUAUCUUUAUUUCGUUGGAAUUUUCGGGAGGAGUAUCGCCCGAUGUUCCAAUUUACUUUUAUUCUCAUUCAGUGAUUGCUUAGUUUCCUUCAGAAAUUAUGUACUUAACUACUUUUAAGAAUUUUUCUUAUGACUGAUUUAAUAUCCAUAAUUAGUUUUGGUGCAUGCAUCUCACUUGCUUUUACUUAUCUAUUUUCUUGAUGUUUGCGAGUACAUUCAAAGUACUUUUUGGCUUGUCCCUGACUAUUGUCUUGGCCAGAUUGAGCAUUUGGAGAGGAGCAUGAUGACGUCAAUCCCAA
rnacentral:lncRNA from 1 species